CAGUCGCCGCGGGAAUACGUAGGUGGCAAGCGUUGUCCGGAAUUAUUGGGCGUAAAGGGCUCGCAGGCGGUUUCUUAAGUUUGAUGUGAAAGCCCCCGGCUCAACCGGGGAGGGUCAUUGGAAACUGGGAAACUUGAGUGCAGAAGAGGAGAGUGGAAUUCCACGUGUAGCGGUGAAAUGCGUAGAGAUAUGGAGGAACACCAGUGGCGAAGGCGACUCUCUGGUCUGUAACUGACGCUGAGGAACGAAAGCGUGGGGAGCGAACAGGAUUAGAUACCCCCGUAGUCCCUGUCUCUUAUAC
rnacentral:rRNA from 1 species